UACGUAGGGGGCAAGCGUUGUCCGGAUUUAUUGGGCGUAAAGAGCGUGUAGGCGGCUAGAUAGGUCCGUUGUGAAAACUCGAGGCUCAACCUCGAGACGUCGAUGGAAACCAUCUGGCUAGAGUCCGGAAGAGGAGAGUGGAAUUCCUGGUGUAGCGGUGAAAUGCGCAGAUAUCAGGCAGAACACCUGGGGCGAAGGCGGCCAGCUGGGCCGUCCCUGACGCUGAGGCGCGAAGGCGUGGGGAGCGAACGGG
rnacentral:rRNA from 1 species